UUAAUACUCCCUCCGUCCCAAAAUUCUUGUCUUAGAUUUGUCUAGAUACGGAUGUAUCUAAUACUAAAAUGUGACUUGAUACAUCCGUAUUUAGACAAAUCUAAGACAAGAAUUUGGUCUAAGAGUCUAAGAG
rfam:Triticum aestivum genome assembly, contig: Triticum_aestivum_CS42_TGACv1_scaffold_019220_1AS